UUAAGAGAUUAGGAUGAAACAUGAAGAGACUAAAAUCGUUAUGGAAAGCACAGAGUAGUAGAGAGUAUGAGAGGAGGUAAGAAGAUGAGAUAGAAGAAUGCU